rnacentral:rRNA from 1 species
AACGAACGCUGGCGGCAUGCCUAACACAUGCAAGUCGAACGAGACCUUCGGGUCUAGUGGCGCACGGGUGCGUAACGCGUGGGAACCUGCCCUUAGGUUCGGAAUAACUCCCCGAAAGGGGUGCUAAUACCGGAUAAUGUCUGCGGACCAAAGAUUUAUCGCCUUUGGAUGGGCCCGCGUUGGAUUAGCUAGUUGGUAGGGUAAAAGCCUACCAAGGCGACGAUCCAUAGCUGGUCUGAGAGGAUGAUCAGCCACACUGGGACUGAGACACGGCCCAGACUCCUACGGGAGGCAGCAGUGGGGAAUAUUGGACAAUGGGCGAAAGCCUGAUCCAGCAAUGCCGCGUGAGUGAUGAAGGCCUUAGGGUUGUAAAGCUCUUUUAACCGGGAUGAUAAUGACAGUACCGGGAGAAUAAGCUCCGGCUAACUCCGUG